GAGCUUGAGAAGGAAUCAGAUUCUGCAUAUAUUUCCAAGUUAACAUGAACAAGAUUUUCUGAAAGACUGCUAUGGAGUCUGAGAAAAAAUGUCAAAGGUAGUGCCAAAAUUGUCACUUAAAGAACUGCAGGAAUGGAGUUGGCAUUUACAGAAUUUGGAAGAGAAGCAGGUUUAGUGAUAAAGACCAGAAGCACAGAGCUAAGCAUAUUAAAUAUUGAGGACAUGAAGAGGAAAGAACUGACAGAGGAGGUGAAGAAAGGUGAUCAGGAAGAGCCAUCAAAGUGUUAUCCUGGAAUUCAAGUGAAGACAGUGUUUCAAAGAUAUGCCACAGAGAGGAUCCAGAGAGCCCAUCUCCGGUCAGUUAUCUGUAUUUGUAUGUCAACUACAGCAUCAAAAAGCAUAGGCAUGGAUACUAAGGACCCCCUCUGUACACCAACACCAUUCCAAAGGACAGUGUGUCACUGUGAACUGGAAAUUCAUCUCUCUUCUUCAAUUUUUUUCUACCUACUUUAUGCUUUAUCUCUAAGUUGAGGCUGUUUAUGGCCUCAUCCUCAAUUACCUUGUCCCUC
rnacentral:sRNA from 1 species